rnacentral:ncRNA from 1 species
UUUAUCAAGAGCAGCCGAGGGACAGGCCUGAUGACGCUGCAGCAACCUGCCGUAAGGUAAGGUGCUAAUACCUGCGGUAAAUCCGGGUGAUGAG